UACAGAGGUCUCAAGCGUUGUUCGGAUUCAUUGGGCGUAAAGGGUGCGUAGGUGGCGCGGUAAGUCGGGUGUGAAAUUUCGGAGCUUAACUCCGAAACUGCAUUCGAUACUGCCGUGCUUGAGGACUGGAGAGGAGACUGGAAUUUACGGUGUAGCAGUGAAAUGCGUAGAUAUCGUAAGGAAGACCAGUGGCGAAGGCGGGUCUCUGGACAGUUCCUGACGCUGAGGCGCGAAAGCCAGGGGAGCAAACGGG
rnacentral:rRNA from 1 species